rnacentral:rRNA from 1 species
UACAGAGGUCCCAAGCGUUGUUCGGAUUCAUUGGGCGUAAAGGGUGCGUAGGUGGCGCUGUAAGUCGGGUGUGAAAUUUCGGAGCUUAACUCCGAAACUGCAUUCGAUACUGCGGUGCUUGAGGACUGGAGAGGAGACUGGAAUUCGAUGGUGUAGCAGUGAAAUGCGCAGAUAGUCAAGGAGGAACACCGGUGGCGAAGGCGGGAUCUCUGGGCCGAUAUUGACGCUGAGAGCGAAAGCGUGGGAGCAA